AAAUGGCUUCAACCAGCCCGUCGUAACACGGACCAAGGAGUCUAACAUGUGUGCGAGUGCUCGGGGUCAACCCCCCAGCGCGAAAUCAACGUAAAGGUGAACUUGUUCACUUAGGUAGGAUCCUUAGGUGCACUAUCGACCGACCAUGAUCCUCCGGGAGAAAGGUUUGAGUGUGAGCAUACAUGUUGGGACCCGAAAGAUGGUGAACUA
rnacentral:rRNA from 1 species